CAGCAGCCGCGGUAACACGAAGGGGGCUAGCGUUGUUCGGAAUUACUGGGCGUAAAGCGCACGUAGGCGGAUAUUUAAGUCAGGGGUGAAAUCCCGCAGCUCAACUGCGGAACUGCCUUUGAUACUGGGUAUCUUGAGUAUGGAAGAGGUUAGUGGAAUUGCGAGUGUAGAGGUGAAAUUCGUAGAUAUUCGCAGGAACACCAGUGGCGAAGGCGGCUAACUGGUCCAUAACUGACGCUGAGGUGCGAAAGCGUGGGGAGCAAACAGGAUUAGAUACCCCAGUAGUCCCUGUCUCUUAUAC
rnacentral:rRNA from 1 species